ensembl:snRNA U5 U5 spliceosomal RNA
AUGCUCUGGUUUCUCUUCAGAUCGUAUAAAUCUUUCGCCUUUUACUAAAGAUUUCCGUGGAGAGGAACAAUUCUGAGUCUUAACCUAAUUUUUUGAUGUCCUACGUAAUGUAGGACU